rnacentral:rRNA from 1 species
AGAGAGAGACAUGCGCGCAUAUCAAUAAGCGGAGGAAAAGAAACUAACAAGGAUUCCCCUAGUAACGGCGAGUGAAGCGGGAAGAGCUCAAAUUUGAAAUCUUAAAGGGUUUCCCUUUACGAAUUGUAGUUUAAAGAAGUGUUUUCUGUUGAGGUUUUGGUAAAAGUUCUUUGGAAUAGGACAUCAUAGAGGGUGAGAAUCCCGUAUUUGACCUUUACUUUCAACUUUGUGAUACACUUUCAAAGAGUCGGAUUGUUUGGGAAUGCAGUCCAAAAUGGGUGGUAAAUUUCAUCUAAAGCUAAAUAUUGGCGAGAGACUGAUAGCGAACAAGUACCGUGAGGGAAAGAUGAAAAGAACUUUGAAAAGAGAGUUAAACAGUACGUGAAAUUGUCAAAAGGGAAGCGUUUGACACCAGUGUUGUUUUUCUGAAAAUCAAUUAAGGAACUGUUUAUGCUAAGUUGUUUAGACUUUAUCAGCUAACUGUUUAGUUUUGAGCUUUUCUUUAAUGCACUUUUCAGUUAACAAGUCAACAUCAAUUUCUUUUGCUGUAAAAAAGCUUGAGGAAGGUGGCUUGAGAUUCGUCUUAAGUGUUUAUAGCCUCUUGCCUAUGCAGUCGGAGAGAUUGAGGUCUGCAGCGUAGAUCCUUCGGGGCUAAAUGCAUUUGUGCUAAGUUAUAGCAUUUUAUAGACAACUUGUUGACUAUGAUUUGUCUUGUAGCUUACUCGCUUAUGUUAUUUUACCUACGCUUAGGAUGUUGAGCGCAUGUCUCUCUCU